rnacentral:rRNA from 1 species
AACAAGUCUGCUUCUAAUCGUCCGUGUUUUCGGACAAGGUCGCUUUGUCGCCUUCAUUUGACACCUUGACCUCAAAUCAGGU